rnacentral:rRNA from 1 species
CGGUUAAGUUAGAAAGGGCGCACGGUGGAUGCCUUGGCACUAGGAGCCGAUGAAGGACGGGACGAACACCGAUAUGCUUCGGGGAGCUGUAAGCAAGCUUUGAUCCGGAGAUUUCCGAAUGGGGAAACCCACCACUCGUAAUGGAGUGGUAUCCAUAUCUGAAUACAUAGGAUAUGAGAAGGCAGACCCGGGGAACUGAAACAUCUAAGUACCCGGAGGAAGAGAAAGCAAAUGCGAUUCCCUGAGUAGCGGCGAGCGAAACGGGACCAGCCCAAACCAAGAGGCUUGCCUCUUGGGGUUGUAGGACACUCUGUACGGAGUUACAAAGGAACGAGGUAGAUGAAGAGGUCUGGAAAGGCCCGCCAUAGGAGGUAACAGCCCUGUAGUCAAAACUUCGUUCUCUCCUGAGUGGAUCCUGAGUACGGCGGAACACGUGAAAUUCCGUCGGAAUCCGGGAGGACCAUCUCCCAAGGCUAAAUACUCCCUAGUGACCGAUAGUGAACCAGUACCGUGAGGGAAAGGUGAAAAGCACCCCGGAAGGGGAGUGAAAGAGAUCCUGAAACCGUGUGCCUACAAGUAGUCAGAGCCCGUUAACGGGUGAUGGCGUGCCUUUUGUAGAAUGAACCGGCGAGUUACGAUCCCGUGCAAGGUUAAGCAGAAGAUGCGGAGCCGCAGCGAAAGCGAGUCUGAAUAGGGCGAAUUGAGUACGUGGUCGUAGACCCGAAACCAGGUGAUCUACCCAUGUCCAGGGUGAAGUUCAGGUAACACUGAAUGGAGGCCCGAACCCACGCACGUUGAAAAGUGCGGGGAUGAGGUGUGGGUAGGGGUGAAAUGCCAAUCGAACCUGGAGAUAGCUGGUUCUCUCCGAAAUAGCUUUAGGGCUAGCCUCAAGGUAAGAGUCUCGGAGGUAGAGCACUGAUUGGACUAGGGGCCCCUACCGGGUUACCGAAUUCAGUCAAACUCCGAAUGCCGAUGACUUAUCCUUGGGAGUCAGACUGCGAGUGAUAAGAUCCGUAGUCGAAAGGGAAACAGCCCAGACCGCCAGCUAAGGUCCCAAAGUAUACGUUAAGUGGAAAAGGAUGUGGAGUUGCUUAGACAACCAGGAUGUUGGCUUAGAAGCAGCCACCAUUUAAAGAGUGCGUAAUAGCUCACUGGUCGAGUGACUCUGCGCCGAAAAUGUACCGGGGCUAAACGUAUCACCGAAGCUGCGGACUGUUCUUCGAACAGUGGUAGGAGAGCGUUCUAAGGGCUGUGAAGCAAGACCGGAAGGACUUGUGGAGCGCUUAGAAGUGAGAAUGCCGGUAUGAGUAGCGAAAGAGGGGUGAGAAUCCCCUCCACCGAAUGCCUAAGGUUUCCUGAGGAAGGCUCGUCCGCUCAGGGUUAGUCGGGACUAAGCCGAGGCCGAAAGGCGUAGGCGAUGGAUAACAGGUUGAUAUUCCUGUACCACCUCCUCACCAUUUGAGCAAUGGGGGACGCAGGAGGAUAGGGUAAGCGCGGUAUUGGAUAUCCGCGUCCAAGCAGUUAGGCUGGGAAAUAGGCAAAUCCGUUUCCCGUGAAGGCUGAGCUGUGAUGGCGAGCGAAUUAUAGUAGCGAAGUUCCUGAUUCCACACUGCCAAGAAAAGCCUCUAGCGAGGUGAGAGGUGCCCGUACCGCAAACCGACACAGGUAGGCGAGGAGAGAAUCCUAAGGUGAUCGAGAGAACUCUCGUUAAGGAACUCGGCAAAAUGACCCCGUAACUUCGGGAGAAGGGGUGCUCUGUUAGGGUGCAAGCCCGAGAGAGCCGCAGUGAAUAGGCCCAGGCGACUGUUUAGCAAAAACACAGGUCUCUGCGAAGCCGUAAGGCGAAGUAUAGGGGCUGACGCCUGCCCGGUGCUGGAAGGUUAAGAGGAGCGCUUAGCGUAAGCGAAGGUGCGAAUUGAAGCCCCAGUAAACGGCGGCCGUAACUAUAACGGUCCUAAGGUAGCGAAAUUCCUUGUCGGGUAAGUUCCGACCCGCACGAAAGGCGCAACGAUCUGGGCACUGUCUCAACGAGAGACUCGGUGAAAUUAUAGUACCUGUGAAGAUGCAGGUUACCCGCGACAGGACGGAAAGACCCCGUGGAGCUUUACUGCAGCCUGAUAUUGAAUGUUGGUACAGCUUGUACAGGAUAGGUAGGAGCCUUGGAAACCGGAGCGCCAGCUUCGGUGGAGGCAUCGGUGGGAUACUACCCUGGCUGUAUUGACCUUCUAACCCGCCGCCCUUAUCGGGCGGGGAGACAGUGUCAGGUGGGCAGUUUGACUGGGGCGGUCGCCUCCUAAAAGGUAACGGAGGCGCCCAAAGGUUCCCUCAGAAUGGUUGGAAAUCAUUCGCAGAGUGUAAAGGCACAAGGGAGCUUGACUGCGAGACCUACAAGUCGAGCAGGGACGAAAGUCGGGCUUAGUGAUCCGGUGGUUCCGCAUGGAAGGGCCAUCGCUCAACGGAUAAAAGCUACCCCGGGGAUAACAGGCUUAUCUCCCCCAAGAGUCCACAUCGACGGGGAGGUUUGGCACCUCGAUGUCGGCUCAUCGCAUCCUGGGGCUGUAGUCGGUCCCAAGGGUUGGGCUGUUCGCCCAUUAAAGCGGUACGCGAGCUGGGUUCAGAACGUCGUGAGACAGUUCGGUCCCUAUCCGUCGCGGGCGCAGGAAAUUUGAGAGGAGCUGUCCUUAGUACGAGAGGACCGGGAUGGACGCACCGCUGGUGUACCAGUUGUUCUGCCAAGGGCAUCGCUGGGUAGCUAUGUGCGGACGGGAUAAGUGCUGAAAGCAUCUAAGCAUGAAGCCCCCCUCAAGAUGAGAUUUCCCAUUCCGCAAGGAAGUAAGAUCCCUGAAAGAUGAUCAGGUUGAUAGGUCUGAGGUGGAAGUGUGGCGACACAUGGAGCUGACAGAUACUAAUCGAUCGAGGACUUAACCAAUUU